rnacentral:RNase_P_RNA from 1 species
CUGGGUUGGUUCUUUCCGAUGUCGCGACUGGGUUAAGGUCCGAGGCUUUCAAUCCCUCCAGGCACGGAGUAAGUCCUGGCCUCCUCCCGACACCUUGGUGGACGGGAGGGAAACUCUCGCGGGGUGUGCUCUUGUCAACACUGUCGAGCAGGGCCCAUCAUCAGAAAUCGCUCUCGACCGGCUACUAGGGGACCGACCUCGGAGGGGCUGCGAGGGGACGACGACUAGGGAGCGAAAACAAGUCUGCUCGGCGGCGGGCAGAGAGAGACAUGAAGCUCGCCCAAGACAUCGUGCGCGACGAGGCCGCUUCGCUUCUCUGUCCCGUCCAGCACUCAGACUUGCCGUUUCCCCGUGAGUCUCUUCUCCUCUCCCCUCCUACAAUCCCUCUCCUUCUGUGGCCCGUCGAGAUUGGGAACGGUGGGCGGGGAUAACGGAGGCUGGCCCUCUUCUAAGUUGGCCAGCCGCCGAUUCAGUGCAAUCCGCGGUUAGCAACUUUGAUUUUGCUCAACUCAAUUCGGACUACUCUUGGCCUGG